rnacentral:rRNA from 1 species
GGGGAUUAGUGGCGAACGGGUGAGUAACACGUGAGUAACCUGCCCUUGACUCUGGGAUAAGCGCUGGAAACGGCGUCUAAUACCGGAUACGAGCUUCAGCCGCAUGGCUAGGAGUUGGAAAGAAUUUUGGUCAAGGAUGGACUCGCGGCCUAUCAGCUAGUUGGUGAGGUAAUGGCUCACCAAGGCGACGACGGGUAGCCGGCCUGAGAGGGUGACCGGCCACACUGGGACUGAGACACGGCCCAGACUCCUACGGGAGGCAGCAGUGGGGAAUAUUGCACAAUGGGCGCAAGCCUGAUGCAGCAACGCCGCGUGAGGGAUGACGGCCUUCGGGUUGUAAACCUCUUUUAGUAGGGAAGAAGCGAAAGUGACGGUACCUGCAGAAAAAGCACCGGCUAACUACGUGCCAGCAGCCGCGGUAAUACGUAGGGUGCAAGCGUUGUCCGGAAUUAUUGGGCGUAAAGAGCUCGUAGGCGGUUUGUCGCGUCUGCUGUGAAAUCUGGGGGCUCAACCCCCAGCCUGCAGUGGGUACGGGCAGACUAGAGUGCGGUAGGGGAGAUUGGAAUUCCUGGUGUAGCGGUGGAAUGCGCAGAUAUCAG